UACGUAGGUGGCAAGCGUUGUUCGGAAUUAUUGGGCGUAAAGCGCGCGCAGGUGGUUUCUUAAGUCUGAUGUGAAAGCCCACGGCUCAACCGUGGAGGGUCAUUGGAAACUGGGGAACUUGAGUGCAGAAGAGGAAAGUGGAAUUCCAAGUGUAGCGGUGAAAUGCGUAGAGAUUUGGAGGAACACCAGUGGCGAAGGCGACUUUCUGGUCUGUAACUGACACUGAGGCGCGAAAGCGUGGGGAGCGAACAGG
rnacentral:rRNA from 1 species